UGCUUAGGCAGGGCAGCUCUCCCCGCAGCCUGUUUAGAACACCUCCCCUUUUACCAUCACUGAGGACAAAGGGUGAGGAGCUGGGGUAUGAUCAAGAACAUAUGGUCUGCAAAGUCAGAUACUGCCUUUCCCGUAAGGUUCUGAAAGAGUGUCAGCUACGGGCCAGAUCUAUCCAGCUCACAAGAUGCAGGCCAAACCUUCUGUCUCAGGACGACAACUGAGACUCCUUUAACCUCUGCCUCUUAGGAAACACAGACACAGCAACGGCAUCAAUCCCUGGGAUCGGACAGGCCCCUAUCCAGAAUUCGGCCCAUCAAUCGGUGAGUCCACCACUAACCGAUGUCAUUAUAAGCCACCCCUCUCGCAACCAGCAUUACUUUCAAGGCCAAAAAAUAAAUAAGUAAA